rnacentral:rRNA from 1 species
GACGAACGCUGGCGGCGUGCCUAAUACAUGCAAGUAGAACGCUGAAGGAGGAGCUUGCUUCUCUGGAUGAGUUGCGAACGGGUGAGUAACGCGUAGGUAACCUGCCUGGUAGCGGGGGAUAACUAUUGGAAACGAUAGCUAAUACCGCAUAAGAGUAGAUGUUGCAUGACAUUUGCUUAAAAGGUGCAAUUGCAUCACUACCAGAUGGACCUGCGUUGUAUUAGCUAGUUGGUGAGGUAACGGCUCACCAAGGCGACGAUACAUAGCCGACCUGAGAGGGUGAUCGGCCACACUGGGACUGAGACACGGCCCAGACUCCUACGGGAGGCAGCAGUAGGGAAUCUUCGGCAAUGGACGGAAGUCUGACCGAGCAACGCCGCGUGAGUGAAGAAGGUUUUCGGAUCGUAAAGCUCUGUUGUAAGAGAAGAACGAGUGUGAGAGUGGAAAGUUCACACUG